UCCAGGCCACUCACGAAAGAUGCCAAAAACAAUGAUUAGGAGUCUAAAUUGUAUUCAUUCUUCUCCAGCUCGAGUCUGUUCAUGAAGUGGGUCUCAUCUGAGCCUUUCUUACUCAUGUCAUGAAGGAUUUUUGAAAGCAAGAUUGGGAAAGAGAACAGUCUUUCUGGAUUCCUAGACUACACGAUGGAUAGUUUAUUGGUUAAUGGAAACCCGGUUUUCUGCUAGAGAGAGAAGUUUGGCUACAACAAGAAAUUGUCAGUUUAUAUUACCUACCAUCAAAGGGAUCCUAGAUACAAUAAUAUAUUUUUCUGGAAUAUUGUGGAUCAAAACAUUUUAAGAUGUACAGCCUAGCAGAAAAUAAAGAUUCUCCUUAUGCUCCGUUCAAUGAUAAUAUCGCCCUUAAGGCUUCCCCUUGAAAGCAUCAACAUAUACAG